rnacentral:rRNA from 1 species
CCUACGGGAGGCAGCAGUGAGGAAUAUUGGUCAAUGGCCGGAAGGCUGAACCAGCCAUGCCGCGUGAAGGUCAGUGCCCUAUGGGCGUUAAACUUCUUUUAUAUGGGACUAAAAUGUUCCACGUGUGGGAUUUUGUAUGUACCAUAUGCAUAAGGAUAGGCUAACUCCGUGCCAGCAGCCGCGGUAAUACGGAGGAUCCGAGCGUUAUCCGGAUUUAUUGGGUGUAAAGGGCGCGUAGGUGGAUUGUUAAGUCAGAUGUGAAAGUUUGCGGCUCAACCGUAAAAUUGCAGUUGAAACUGGGAGUCUUGAGUACUGUAGAGGUGGGCGGAAUUCGGGGUGUAGCGGUGAAAUGCGUAGAUAUCACGAAGAACACCGAUUGCGAAGGCAGAUCACUGGACUGCAACUGACACUGAGGCUCGAAAGCGUGGGGAGCAAACAGGAUUAGAUACCCGAGUAGUC